rnacentral:rRNA from 1 species
UACGAAGGGUGCAAACGUUGCUCGGAAUCAUUGGGCGUAAAGCGCACGUAGGCGGCUCUGCAAGUCGGAUGUGAAAUCCCUCGGCUCAACCGAGGACGUGCAUCCGAAACUGCGGAGCUUGAGUAUGGAAGAGGGUCGCGGAAUCCCCGGUGUAGAGGUGAAAUUCGUAGAUAUCGGGGGGAACACCAGUGGCGAAGGCGGCGACCUGGGCCAAUACUGACGCUGAGGUGCGAAAGCGUGGGGAGCAAAAGGG